rnacentral:rRNA from 1 species
UACGUAGGGUGCAAGCGUUAAUCGGAAUUACUGGGCGUAAAGCGUGCGCAGGCGGUUUUGUAAGUUUGUCGUGAAAUCCCCGGGCUUAACCUGGGAAUUGCGAUGAAGACUGCAAGGCUAGAAUCUGGCAGAGGGGGGUAGAAUUCCGCGUGUAGCAGUGAAAUGCGUAGAGAUGUGGAGGAACACCGAUGGCGAAGGCAGCCCCCUGGGUCAAGAUUGACGCUCAUGCACGAAAGCGUGGGGAGCGAACAGG